rnacentral:rRNA from 1 species
UAUCCGUCGCGGGCGUAGGAAAUUUGAGAGGAUCUGCUCCUAGUACGAGAGGACCAGAGUGGACUUACCGCUGGUGUACCAGUUGUCUUGCCAAAGGCAUCGCUGGGUAGCUAUGUAGGGAAGGGAUAAGCGCUGAAAGCAUCUAAGUGCGAAGCCCACCUCAAGAUGAGAUUUCCCAUGAUUUUAUAUCAGUAAGAGCCCUGAGAGAUGAUCAGGUAGAUAGGUUAGGAGUGUAAUUGUGGUGACACAUUUAGCGGACUAAUACUAAUAGCUCGAGGACUUAUCCAAAA